UUCAGGAUAUGCAAUGUAUAUCUUGGUCUCAAUAGAUUGUGCGGUUUUGUGAUGUUACAUUUAUAAAUCAUUGAGUGCUUGUUUAUUUUAGAAUCAAAUAUCUUCACCUUGUUUGCAAAAUAUUAAUCUUUUAGCCUGCUAGGUACCUUUGAGUUCUCUGGUAGUACGUGAUGGGCCAGGUGAGUUGAUCAUCCCAGCCAGGGAUACUAUGGCGAUGAGAUCAUUUGAAGCUUCAAGUGACGUCUGAUCUAAUAGUUUGACCUGGCCCACAAAACCGGUUUGGUUUUCAAACAGAUGACGUACAAAUAGAUGAACACUGGGAGUCGUGUUUAAAUAAUAAUUUUGGUGGGGGCUAGAAGGAGGUAAACCAGAAUGCCAAGUGUCAAUGUCCACAAGUUUUCGGAGGAGAAAGUUUAAAUGUUCCAGAUUUUAUAAAUUUCGGACAAUGAUGAUGUUCAUGAGAUGUCUCAGUAAAAAGCUUUUUAUUUGAUGUUUGGAUAUAUCAGUGAACAUGACCUCUAAAGAUCUAAUGAAUCACUAUAUCACGCCU